rnacentral:rRNA from 1 species
AGCCUGAACGCUGGCGGCGUGGCUAAGACAUGCAAGUCGUACGGGGGUCGCAAGACUCCAGUGGCGAACGGGUGAGUAAUGUAUCGCUAACGUACCCCUGUGUCCGGGAUAGCUGGGGGAAACUCCAGGUAAUACCGGGUGACAUUCUCUUCCCGCAUGGGAGGAGACUCAAAAGGGGAAACCGCAAAGGGAGCGGGCGAUAUCGUAUCAGCUGGUUGGUGAGGUAACGGCUCACCAAGGCAAUGACGCGUAGCCGGACUGAGAGGUCGGCCGGCCACAUUGGGACUGAGACACUGCCCAGACUCCUACGGGGGGCUGCAGUAACGAAUCUUCCGCAAUGCACGCAAGUGUGACGGAGCGACGCCGCGUGUGGGACGAAGUCCUUGGGAUGUAAACCACUGUCAGGGGUUACCAAGAACUGAGGAGCCCCAGAGGAAGGCACGGCUAACUCUGCGCCAGCAGCCGC